GGCCCCGUAGCUCAACUGGAUAGAGCAUCGGCCUUCUAAGCCUACGGUUGCAGGUUCAAGUCCUGCCGGGGUCACCA
rnacentral:tRNA from 1 species